GACGAACGCUGGCGGCGUGCUUAACACAUGCAAGUCGAGCGGUAAGGCCCUUUCAGGGGUACACGAGCGGCGAACGGGUGAGUAACACGUGGGUGACCUGCCCUUAGCUCUGGGAUAAGCCUGGGAAACUGGGUCUAAUACCGGAUAUGACUCCAUGACGCAUGUUGUGGGGUGGAAAGCCUUGUGCGGCUAGGGAUGGGCCCGCGGCCUAUCAGCUUGUUGGUGGGGUGANGGCCUACCAAGGCGACGACGGGUAGCCGGCCUGAGAGGGCGACCGGCCACACUGGGACUGAGACACGGCCCAGACUCCUACGGGAGGCAGCAGUGGGGAAUCUUGCGCAAUGGGCGAAAGCCUGACGCAGCGACGCCGCGUGGGGAGUGACGGCC
rnacentral:rRNA from 1 species